AUAGGGGUGUCCUUUUUACAGUGCUCUCUGUCAUUUCAGGCUGCAGGAAGCUUCUCAACAAUUUCUGAGACCUAAUGCAGAAAAGGGGGCAAAUGUAAAUAAAGGCAAUGAGUGCAUGAGGACCUGAAGCCUGAAAAAAACUCCAAACAAAUUUCAUUGCCAGCAUUUCUGUUGUCUGUGGAAGAACUCAAAAUGUGCCAAUGAUGUAGAGGUCAAGAACUGAGGAUCCAGGUUGCAGACAGCCCCCCAUAAAAAUGUUGUCUCUUUUCACCUGCUGAUUCUUCACAGUCCUCACACAGCCUUUUGUUAUUUUGAUAAACCUACUAAUACCGAGGAGCUGGUCUAAUUGCCACCCAUCCCUGGAGAUAAGUGGGAGAGAUGGGAAAGCAGAUGUAGAAGUCUCGAAACAAAAGCGAGUACAAAGCUAUGCAGAACACCGGUGAUUUAUGAAGGAGACAUUAACAUUAUCGAGCAUUGUUUUGGGAAGCAAGUGUGCAGAGAAUUAACAGUUUCAAUGGAAAAGAAGAAAGGAGCACAGCUGGGUCUGCCUGAGCAAGCACAUUAGCAUAACCCUUGGAGAAAGCCUGAGGAAAAGGAUUUAGAGGCGGGGUUAAAAGCAGGGUCUCCUGGCUCUGAGCUGAGCAAACAGCGAGUUCUGUUUAUUUGGACCAGCCACUGCUUAGGGCAGCAAAGCUAGUGCUGUCCCUAUGGACACACAGCUGGGACAUCUGACCCCAUCACCAUGUCUGCUUCUAACUGAAACAACCUGCAAACCCUCACAAACUUUGGCUAACCAGCAAAGCUGAGAAACACAAUGAUGUCUACUGUUUUUAAGGUUAAAAGACCUUAACACCUGUCAUGU